GAAAACCUUUCACCAUAAAAUCCGGGUGGUGCUUCCCAAACUAUUAAGGAUUCCAAUAGAUAUACUAAAGAGGAAGGAGAGUGAACAUGAAGCAAACUUUAAAAGGAAGAAGUGAAAAGAGGACAAAAGAGAGUUUAACAGUAGAAAGCUAAAAAGGAAACAGAGAUGGCCACUUUCAUCUCCAAGUUUCUAAAGUACACAGAAACAUCAAACAUACCUGAAUAAUUUCACUUGGUCCACUCUCUCCUUCUCUCUCUCUCUCUCUCUUGUCAUUGAGCAUCCUUUUCAAUUUCAUUGUCACUUGUUGUCAUCUUCAUACACUCCGUGAAUAUUACAACAAGUUGUCGUUUCAUCCAAACAAAUAAAACCGGUCCCAGUUUCAGAAGAUCUUUUGAACUGCCAAGCUUUCUUUUGUCUUGUUCCCCCCUCCAAGUCCUUUUUUUCCUCAUACAAAAGAGUCUAUAAAGUCUCCAUUAGUUUACAACUAGUGAAUACUACUGUACAUAUUCAAUGUAAGAUUUGUAGGUUGGGCUAAGGAGGGUUUAGCCAUUUCCUUACACACAUAUCCGCGGCUGCAUACGCUUAUACCAUAAGAAGACGAGUUGGGGCCUAUUAGAAUCUGUCCACAGAAAUACAACGCAUCCAUCAAUCAGAGCUGGAUUUAGCAAAAUAUCAAGCAUAGUUCUGAAUAAAAAAGUUCAUGAACUCACCAGGACGAAAUAUAACUCAUUUGAAAGGCUUUCUUGAAUUAAGGCCAAGUCUAUACAUGUUAUUGGAAUCAACCUGGGUAUAAGAAAAAGAAUACGACAUGUAUACUCUUUGUUGAAGCACUUUUAAGCACAUAAAGGCAAUAGACUGAGAGAACAGAAAAAAAAGAAGCUAAUAAAAUUAUGCAUGAUAAAGAAUAGAGAUUGGUUUAUUGAAGGAGAAAGCAGCCCAAAAAAAGGUUGAUGUGAAGUGAAAGUUGCUCCUACAAAGGGAUAAACACAGAGGUAUUAAUUGGUGGAGUUCCAAUCAGCUUCAAGUGUUUUGUUGUGUCUUUGUGUGUGUGUCGUGUGUGUCAGCAAACAAGACCUACCCAUCUCUCUUUCUCUAUCUCUCUCAUAUUCUUACUACUUUUCUCCACUUAUUACAAAACUCAAAAGCAUUUGUAGUGAGUCUAUUCUUUCCUUAUAUAGCAUCAACUUCUGCUCCCACUUAUGAGAUAAAAAACUAAAUUUUUAUGCUUCUUUUUUUCUUAGGCUAUAUAGCUAUUAGUCCAGAAGGUGAGAGCGAAAGAGACAAUUGAAGGGAACAAAACCAUCACCUGGAAAAUUAUAUACCCUCUUUGCCCCUCAUGGAGUCUUCCAGCGGAAAGCCAAGAUCAUCUGAUUCCUCAUGCAUCGUUUCUGCAUCCACCACUCUUCCAUUUCCAGAUUCCCCAAAGCUGAACCUAAAAAAUUACAACAGAGACGCAGAAGCGGCACGAGAUCAUGACCAAAUAGAAGGAGAGGAAGGUGUAAGGCUUGAACUUAUGCUAGCAGGAUAUGAUUCUAGUCAACCACAGCUCAAUCAAGAACUCAAUCUCCUCAACUGCUUAGAGGCAGGUGUAGUCACUCCAAGUUUUAACGGGUCAAGUUCCACUGAACAGAAGCUCUUCUCAUGCAACUACUGUCAAAGAACAUUCUACAGCUCACAGGCGCUUGGUGGUCACCAAAACGCCCACAAAAGAGAAAGGACUUUGGCAAAGCGAGGGCAACGGAUGGCAUCUGCCGCAGCUUUCGGGCAUCCAUAUAGCUUUGCUCCAGUCCCGUUCCAUGGGCAGUACAGCAACAGAUCCUUGGGUAUUCAGGCGCACUCAAUGAGUCACAAGCUAAGUUCAUAUAACGUGUUUGGUGGUGAGUAUGGUCAGAUCAAUUGGUCAAGGAUACCACUAGUUCAGCAACCAGCCAUAGGAAAACUAACUUCAACAGAGAAUCAUUAUAAUCAUCAUCAGAUGAUGAUUGCUCCACCGUUGACUUCCACAUGUGAAAACAUCGGUAGGUUCGAUGUUGGAAGGAUUCCAGUAGAUUUACCAACUUCCGAACUAUGGCAGAGAGGCGAGGAAUUGUUGAAGCCAGCUGAAGAAGAACAGCAGAAGAACCUUGACUUGUCCCUUAAACUCUGAAAUUCUUUUCUUUUCUUUUUUUUGGGUUUUGCUCUGAAAUUGGUUUCCUUGAGCCAAGUCUCUCCUCGAGCUUUUUUUUCUUUGUGCUGGUUUUUUGUUGUCAUUGAUGUCUACACCAGUAUUAUUCAAUUGUUAGUAAUCUUGUGAGUAUAUCUUCUACCAUAGAUUUAUGAUGUACAUCUUUCCACAUUUCUACAAGUUUGAGUUUUUCAACUAGACAUCAAUGGAUUUCUUAUAGACAGCCAACAACCAUAGAAUAGUGAGUGAAGUUCCUAGAAACGAAGAGAAACUUUUUUAGUGUAUGAAAGAAAGAGAUUAUCUUGAGAUCUAAGGGAAGAUUUGUUGUCAUGGAAACCAGAAAAAGACUUAUUAUUAAGUCAGAGUUGUGAUACCUAAAAGUAAGAAAAACAUUCUUUUAUUGAAAAGUGGUUAACAAGACACACAAGAAAGCAAAAACAAAUAUAAAAUAAGAACUUGUUAGUUGUGAUGAUGACAAGAAGCAAAGAGUCCAGAAGAACAAACAUAAUUAAUACAACAGAUGAUCCUAAUAAUGCAGCUAAUAACAAAUCAUGAAAUAAUCAAGAAUCCAAUGAAAUCUUUGUGAGACCCCAAAAUAUGUGUACACUAGACAAAGAGUGACUAGUGUUUGGCCUUUAGGAUGAAUCUAUACGCACUACCUAGAUAUACAUAAAUAGAAUGUACAAAUAACCAUGUGCGUAUGAUGCACAAAAGGUGGGACAAGAGUCAAGACUUAUGAGACUAAAACACAAAUUUAAAAGGGCUUCAUAUAAUUCUAAUGGACUGACUCCAACUUCUCUACACAUCUUGAGAUGAAACAUUUCAAAUGAAUAAAACAUCAAACUGAGGAUCUUUUCAUGAGCUUUCACACAGAACGAAGUUUCAGUAUUUCAGAAACUUAAGAAAACAAAAGAUUGCUGAACAGGUUUAUGAAUAACUAGCAAGCAAGGGAGGCAAGUUAGGGGAACCAGACGAUCCUCUCAAUAAGUAGCAUACACGAGAUUAUGGCCAACCUGAAUAUACCACUCUAACACAAAAGGACAAGAUAGAAGCCAAAAUAACUCACAAAUAUCAAAAUUGGACACAGCUACACUGAACACCAAACGUUGGACAAUAACAAAUGUUGGCAUAUGAAUCUGAAAUACUAAAGAUUAUCAAACUCUUCACCUAGAACCAAAUAGAAGUAUGUAGACUUUCUUCCCAAUAAACAUUUAAGGCACAAGACAGAUCAUCAUGUUUGUUUUCAGAUACAGAAUUGGCCACAAGCAACAAAAAAAAAGAAUGAAAACAGACCUUAAUGAAUAAAACAAAGAAGAAACAAACACCAAGGCAGACAAUAACACAUGUGGAAUAAAAAUCUAGUGGAACCAAACCUCAUUGAAUAACUCUUGGGUCCAUUUUGAUCUACUUGUAUGCAUACCACAAAUCUGACCCAACAAUACUCUUCAAUCUGAGUCACACUUUCCUGAAACACAUAGCAAGAAAAAAAGAUAUUGAUGGAUCAUUUAUCAGGUUGCUACCAAAUGACAUCCACAGGUCAGCUGAUUAAUUGACUAAUCAAUGCAAGUGAAAAUGUAUCCCUUGUGAAGCACCAUCUUCUCCUACAACGCAAUGAGCAUAAGAAAAAAAAGAAAGAAAUCUUUGAUUGCACUGAGAAAAUUUCCAGUGUUCUCUUAUUUUGCAAUUGACAACAUUGCUAAACGAUACGAAUAUUUAUUUAAGGCUAAGUUUAAAUAAAUCAUUUUUCAUUACUCUGAGAUUCAAGCAUUUUGAUAAUCCGACUGAGCAUUUCGCCGGCAAAUACAUAUGAAGCUGAACCUACAAAUCACUCGAAUUCCUAAUAUUUGGCACAGUAAUCUCAAUGAAAUUAAAAAAGAUGUUGGACUUCUCACCAGAAACCAGGCAUGUACCGGAGUUUCGCCGGAGCUUACGUGAGGACUCCGAGUUUUCGAACAAAGUUCACGAGCAGGUAAUCUAGAAUUUUAAAAGGCCCAAUAACAAGCCCAUUAUAUUAAAU
rnacentral:lncRNA from 1 species